rnacentral:tRNA from 1 species
GGCCCCGUAGCUCAGCCGGAUAGAGCAUUUGAUUCCUAAUCAAAGGGCCGUGAGUUCGAAUCUCGCCGGGGUCACCA